GGCAGCAGUGAGGAAUAUUGGGCAACGGGCGAAAGCCUGACCCAGCCACGCCGCGUGCAGGAUGACACCCCUAUGGGGCGUAAACUGCUUUUGUACGAGAAGAACUCCCUGGAUUCGUCCGGGGUUGACGGUACCGUACGAAUAAGGACCGGCUAACUCCGUGCCAGCAGCCGCGGUAAUACGGAGGGUCCAAGCGUUGUCCGGAUUUAUUGGGUGUAAAGGGUGUGCAGGCGGGCUUGUAAGUCAGAGGUGAAAUCCUACGGCUCAACCGUAGAACUGCCUUUGAUACUGCAGGUCUUGAGUCCUGGAGAGGUUGUUAGAAUUCGUGGUGUAGCGGUGAAAUGCGUAGAUAUCACGAGGAAUACCGGUUACGAAGGUUGGCAACUGGACAGGUACUGACGCUCAGGCACGAAAGCGUGGGGAGCAAACAGGAUUAGAUACCCUGGUAGUCCACGCCGUAAACGAUGAUCACUCGGUGUCGCAGCUUUAUGCUGCGGUGCCUAAGCUAACGCAUUAAGUGAUCCACCUGGGGAGUACGAUCGCAAGGUUGAAACUCAAAGGAAUUGACGG
rnacentral:rRNA from 1 species